rnacentral:rRNA from 1 species
AGAGACCUACGGGACGCAGCAGUGGGGGAUAUUGCACAAUGGGGGAAACCCUGAUGCAGCGACGCCGCGUGUGGGAAGACGGUCCUCUGGCUUGUAAACCACUGUCCCCAGGGACGAAGAUGACGGUACCUGGGGAGGAAGCUCCGGCUAACUACGUGCCAGCAGCCGCGGUAAUACGUAGGGAGCGAGCGUUGUCCGGAAUUACUGGGAGUAAAGGGAGCGUAGGCGGGACUGCAAGUUGGGCGUCAAAUCUACCGGCACAACCGGUAGCCGCACUCAAAACUGCAGUUCUU